CCUACGGGCGGCAGCAGUGAGGAAUAUUGGUCAAUGGACGAGAGUCUGAACCAGCCAAGUAGCGUGAAGGAUGACUGCCCUAUGGGUUGUAAACUUCUUUUAUAUGGGAAUAAAAUGUUCCACGUGUGGGAUUUUGUAUGUACCAUAUGAAUAAGGAUCGGCUAACUCCGUGCCAGCAGCCGCGGUAAUACGGAGGAUCCGAGCGUUAUCCGGAUUUAUUGGGUUAAAAGGGAGCGUAGGUGGAUUGUUAAGUCAGUUGUGAAAGUUUGCGGCUCAAACGUAAAAUUGCAGUUGAAACUGGCAGUCCUUAGUACAGUAGAGGUGGGCGGAAUUUGUGGUGGAGCGGUGAAAUGCUUAGAUAUCACGAAGAAAUCCGAUUGCGAAGGCAGUUCACUGGACUGCAACCGACACUGAGGCUCGAAAGUGUGGGUAUCAAACCGGAUUAGAUACCCGUGUAGUC
rnacentral:rRNA from 1 species